rnacentral:rRNA from 1 species
UACCAGCACCCCGAGUGGUCGGGACGAUUAUUGGGCCUAAAGCAUCCGUAGCCGGUUCUACAAGUCUUCCGUUAAAUCCACCUGCUUAACAGAUGGGCUGCGGAGGAUACUAUGGAGCUAGGAGGCGGGAGAGGCAAGCGGUACUUAGUGGGUAGGGGUAAAAUCCGUUGAUCCAUUGAAGACCACCAGUGGCGAAGGCGGCUACCUGGACAAUUGCUGACGCUCAGGCACGAAAGCGUGGGGAGCAAAAGGG